UUUUGUUUUUAUUAUUUUAUUCAACUGGAUUGUAACAGGCAUUCCCCAAUACCCAAGAAAAGCUGGGAGCCAUGGCGGCAAUCUCGAAUCAGAGGACAAGCUGACAGCCUUUGCCCUCUUCGGGAGGGAAUCAUUUCUUCGAUCCGCUUCGAGGAAUUGCUUCCAUUCGUAAGUUUCAAGCGCCCCAAAGUGUCCUCCUUCCGAAGUUGAAACCCUAGCUUCUGAUCUCGAAUGG
rnacentral:lncRNA from 1 species